rnacentral:rRNA from 1 species
GAUGAACGCUGACAGAAUGCUUAACACAUGCAAGUCGAUGGGGAAGUGGUGCUUGCACCCUGGUAACCAUGGCGGACGGGUGAGUAACGCGUAAGGAACUUGCCUGCGGGACUGGGAUAACAGCAGGAAACUGCUGAUAAUACCGGAUAAGGUCAUUAAGCUGCAUAGCUUAGUGAUGAAAGGAGACGCCUGCGGAGAGCCUUGCGUCCUAUUAGCUAGUUGGAGGGGUAACGGCCCACCAAGGCGAAGAUAGGUAGCCGGCCUGAGAGGGUGGACGGCCACAAGGGGACUGAGAUACGGCCCUUACUCCUACGGGAGGCAGCAGUGGGGAAUAGUGGACAAUGGGGGCAACCCUGAUCCAGCAAUUCUGUGUGCACGAAGACGGUUUUCGGAUUGUAAAGUGCUUUCAGCAGGGAAGAAGGAGGUGACGGUACCUGCAGAAGAAGCGACGGCUAAAUACGUG